GGCUACACAGUGUAGUGAUUAGCACAUCUCCUUUACAUGCAGAUGAUCUGGGUUCACACCCCAGGUGGAGCCA
rnacentral:tRNA from 1 species